rnacentral:lncRNA from 1 species
UUGCUUCCCUGUUGAAGUGAAGAUAUAAAUGUUCCAUUCUGACCCACCUUUGAAAAACAAUUACUUUGCCCCAUGGAUUCUUUGUUCAAUUAGAAAUUUCCCCGGGGCAGGUGACCCAUAGUCUUAAAGAACAGGCUAAACACCACAGAGAGAUUGGUUGCUUUUUGCUUUUCAUCACCUGCAAGAUGUACAUAAAAAUCACAUAAGCUGGAAUUCAACAAAAGGUAUGUUUAUGAACUUUUAUUCUCAAAAGUUGAAAUGCUGACUUUCUCGAUUCCUCAUUUUCAGACUUUUAUUUCAGAUAAAUACUAAAAACCUAAGUGAACCUUGAUAAUGCUGUAGUGUAGAUUACUUCACUACCCCAUAUAAUAGAAGGACUUGCUGUUUAGUUGUAGAGGAUAACAGCGUUUUUCAGUGGAAAUUGAAAGUGGAAAAAUUGAAUUUUGCUCUACACAGUUAACAUAUAGUGGCCUUUUUUUGGUAUAUAUGUAAACAUGUUGACACUGGAAAUACGCAGUCUGAAAUAAAAUUAGUAAUUACUUGAAAUUAGUAAUCUCAAAUAACUUUUAAGAAGUUAUUUCUACACCCAGGAAUAAAUUAUUCUGAUUUUGUAGACAACACAGGAAUAGGCCACUGAAUAUGCAGGUAUUUAGAGUACAAAUGUCUGUGGAUAUUAUUGGCACACCAUUCUCGAGAGUUAGAAUUCGUAGACCCGCAACACAUGGACUACCCUUGCCAAUUGUUAUGGUUUUAUUUUUAAACCUAUUCUGUGAAAAAGCUCCUCGGUAUUUCAAACUUGAAUUACAAUAAAAACACCAGGUAGGGUUGUUUUUAAAUGGGUCUCACCCCAGUGCUGACUACUGUUGUUUACCAACUACAUUUCAUCUGGUAACUCCAUUGAAACUAAGUACCUCAACCAUUUUUUUUUUUUAUCAUAAAGCCUUUUUUCAAAUGGAAAGUUGUUUUUGAAGAUCUUGACAUCAGACUUUUUCAAUCUUUGAAAAUGAUGGAAACAGUUAAUAAAAAUGUUUAUUUUAGAAUUCAGGUGAUGUCUGGCUUGUGAGGAGCUGUUUAUAAGUUUGUCUUUGAAAAAGGCUUGCACACAUCACUCUGAGACCAGCUGUUUCCUGUGACUUUAACCUUACCUUCCCCAGACAAUUGAGCUGAACCUGUAUCUGCGAAAUUAUAUCUUUGAUAUCCAGCACAGUUCCAGUAACCUGCCAGGCAUCCUGCUGAAUAGGGAGAAGGAUGAAAAAUAUGGAGUGGACAGACCUGGUGGAAGUUUCCCCUUGAGUGCAGCAACGUGAUGACCCCAGAGAAAAGCAGUAGACACAUUUAUCUUUGACUUGAAAAUAGAGCUGAUGUUUUAAAGCCUCAGUAAAGUAUCUUAGCUAUUUGAAAUUUGCAUGUGUCGUUGCACCACUGUCUGCGGCAGCUGAUUCCUGAAGCAUGAUUCAAAGUGAAUUUGAAUUGCCUUUGGUAUCUGCUAUAAGGCUUAUUAGACAGCUUUUGGGGACAGGCCUCAAAGUGAAAAAAGAAGUAUAGUCCAUUGCUGAGCAAGGAAGAGUAUUUGAAACUGGCUUGGUUCAGAAACAGUGGCUACCUCUAAAGUGUCCUUGUCAGAGGCAUGCUUAGAGUGACCAGUCAUGCAGCAAAGACUUGCCUUUCAACAGCACAUGUUAUCUGGCAGAAGAACCCUUCAUUACAAAGACAACAGCUUCCAGUGGCUUUUCCUAGAACUGUCCAGAAGCUCAGGUUUUCUCAUUGAAAGAUCAAGAUCCUAAUCUUUUAUUAACUCUAUGCCUAUGCAGU